UUAGUUAUAAUUGAUAAAUUGUAAACUUCGAUACAAAUUAUUAAAUAUUAUUGGUUUAGAGUUAUUGAAAAUUGUAAAUCACGAAAAACAGUAAAUUUAAAAGCAACAUUUCAUAUGUUUUCUUAAUAUUUGUGUUUUUCCUAAAGGAUCAAACAAAAAGGAACAGAUUGAGUAUUACUUAGGAUAAGUUUGGGGUUUAUAGCAAAAAGUUUGAUAUUUGGGGCUUAUAGCAAAAAGUUGGACUGACAAUUAU
rnacentral:sRNA from 1 species